rnacentral:rRNA from 1 species
UACGUAGGGUGCAGGCGUUGUCCGGAAUUAUUGGGCGUAAAGAGCUCGUAGGCGGUCUGUCGCGUCUGCUGUGAAAACUCGGGGCUUAACCCCGGGCCUGCAGUGGGUACGGGCAGACUAGAGUGCGGUAGGGGAGACUGGAAUUCCUGGUGUAGCGGUGAAAUGCGCAGAUAUCAGGAGGAACACCGAUGGCGAAGGCAGGUCUCUGGGCCGAAACUGACGCUGAGGAGCGAAAGCGUGGGGAGCGAACAGG